rnacentral:lncRNA from 1 species
AUCGUUGGAUUUUGCAUUUUCACUACUUAAGGGUUUUUGAAGAGCCAGGCGUUUCGUAUUCUCACUUCUAUAAUCGAUUCUUCACACGCUAAAACAGAGAAAGAAGUUGAGAGAGGUACGUAAAGAGGAGAAGUCAAGAUCGUUUCUGCAUUCGGUUUCUUUGUUUAUACAUACUCCCUUAACGUUCCUGUAUUGUCACUAUUGAAGAGUUUAAAGACCCAAAGCUUCUGCGUCUUCUUCCUUCUUCCAUCGAUUCCUUACGCGUUGGAACAGAGAGAAAGAAGAAACAGAGAGGUACGUACGUAA